rnacentral:rRNA from 1 species
CUGACGAGUAGCGAACGGGUGAGUAACGCGUGGGAAUCUGCCCUAUAGUGGGGGAUAAGCCAGGGAAACUUGGUCUAAUACCGCAUAAUCUCUACGGAGGAAAGCGGGGGAUCUUCGGACCUCGCACUAUUGGAUGAGCCCACGUUAGAUUAGCUUGUUGGUGGGGUAAAGGCCUACCAAGGCGACGAUCUAUAGCUGGUCUGAGAGGAUGAUCAGCCACACUGGGACUGAGACACGGCCCAGACUCC